rnacentral:rRNA from 1 species
GACGAACGCUGGCGGCGUGCCUAAUACAUGCAAGUUGAGCGCUGAAGGUUGGUACUUGUACCGACUGGAUGAGCAGCGAACGGGUGAGUAACGCGUGGGGAAUCUGCCUUUGAGCGGGGGACAACAUUAGGAAACGAAUGCUAAUACCGCAUAAAAACUUUAAACACAAGUUUUAAGUUUGAAAGAUGCAAUUGCAUCACUCAAAGAUGAUCCCGCGUUGUAUUAGCUAGUUGGUGAGGUAAAGGCUCACCAAGGCGAUGAUACAUAGCCGACCUGAGAGGGUGGUCGGCCACAUUGUGACUGAGACUCGGCCCAAACUCCGACGGGAGGCAGCAGUAGGGAAUCUUCGGCGAUGGACGAAAGUCUGACCGAGCAACGCCGCGUGAGUGAAGAAGGUUUUCGGAUCGUAAAACUCUGUUGGUAGAGAAGAACGUUAGUGAGAGUGGAAAGCUCAUCAAGUGACGGUAACGACCCAGAAAGGGACGGCUAACUACGU